rnacentral:rRNA from 1 species
GACGAACGCUGGCGGCGUGCUUAACACAUGCAAGUCGAACGUGAUUUUUGUGGAAAUUCUUUCGGGAAUGGAAAUGAAAUGAAAGUGGCGAACGGGUGAGUAACACGUGAGCAACCUACCUUACACAGGGGGAUAGCCGUUGGAAACGACGAUUAAUACCGCAUGAGACCACAGAAUCGUAUGAUAUAGGGGUCAAAGAUUUAUCGGUGUAAGAAGGGCUCGCGUCUGAUUAGCUAGUUGGAAGGGUAAAGGCCUACCAAGGCGACGAUCAGUAGCCGGUCUGAGAGGAUGAACGGCCACAUUGGAACUGAGACACGGUCCAAACUCCUACGGGAGGCAGCAGUGGGGAAUAUUGCACGAUGGGGGGAACCCUGAUGCAGCGACGCCGCGUGAGCGAAGAAGGUUUUCGAAUCGUAAAGCUCUGUCCUAGAGAAGAUAAGACGGUAUCUAGGAGGA